GGGGAAUGUCUGGACCGCCUCGGCGCACCCAGAAACCCUUUGUGAACUUAUACCUUUCUGUUGCCUCGGCGCAGGCCGGCCUCUUAGCUGAGGCCCCCCGGAGACGGGGAGCAGCCCGCCGGCGGCCAACCAAACUCUUGUUUCUACAGUGGAUCUCUGAGUAAAAAACAUAAAUGAAUCAAAACUUUCAACAACGGAUCUCUUGGUUCUGGCAUCGAUGAAGAACGCAGCGAAAUGCGAUAAGUAAUGUGAAUUGCAGAAUUCAGUGAAUCAUCGAAUCUUUGAACGCACAUUGCGCCCUCUGGUAUUCCGGAGGGCAUGCCUGUUCGAGCGUCAUUUCAACCCUCAAGCCUGGCUUGGUGUUGGGGCACUGCUCCGAGAGGAGCAGGCCCUGAAAUCUAGUGGCGAGCUCGCUAGGACCCCGAGCGUAGUAGUUAUAUCUCGUUCUGGAAGGCCCUGGCGGUGCCCUGCCGUUAAACCCCCAACUUCUGAAAUUUUGACCUCGGAUCAGGUAGGAAUACCCGCUGAACUUAAGCAUAUCAAUAAGGCGGGAGGAAAGUCAAUUGUU
rnacentral:rRNA from 1 species